CCUACGGGAGGCAGCAGUGAGGAAUAUUGGACAAUGGAGGAGACUCUGAUCCAGCCAUGCCGCGUGUAGGAAGAAUGCCCUAUGGGUUGUAAACUACUUUUAUACAGGAAGAAACACUGGUAUGUAUACCAGCUUGACGGUACUGUAAGAAUAAGGACCGGCUAACUCCGUGCCAGCAGCCGCGGUAAUACGGAGGGUCCGAGCGUUAUCCGGAAUCAUUGGGUUUAAAGGGUCCGCAGGCGGUCGAUUAAGUCAGAGGUGAAAUCCCAUAGCUCAACUAUGGAACUGCCUUUGAUACUGGUUGACUUGAGUCAUAUGGAAGUAGAUAGAAUGUGUAGUGUAGCGGUGAAAUGCAUAGAUAUUACACAGAAUACCGAUUGCGAAGGCRGUCUACUACGUAUGUACUGACGCUGAGGGACGAAAGCGUGGGGAGCGAACAGGAUUAGAUACCCUGGUAGUCCACGCCGUAAACGAUGGAUACUAGUUGUUGGGAUUUAUCUCAGUGACUAAGCGAAAGUGAUAAGUAUCCCACCUGGGGAGUACGGUCGCAAGACUGAAACUCAAAGGAAUUGACGGGG
rnacentral:rRNA from 1 species